rnacentral:lncRNA from 1 species
AGGCAUAUACUCCGUGGUGUGGGGGAUCAUGCUGUGCUCACACUUCCCCACACGUGGAGAGAUGAUAAUACCUUGUAUAUUGUAUGGAUGCAUCAUCUGUCAGUUAAAAAGCCUAUGGCCUGUGACUUAGGCAGGAAAUAGAAGGUGGAACAUCCAAGAGGAGAAAGAAUUCUGGGAUAGAGCCAGACUCAAGAUCCACUGGGAAGAUGUGACUGGAUGGACACCGGCGUGGUACCUGAGCACAGAAGUGUGGUGAGAAGAGAAUUAAGAAACAGGUGUGGGACUGGCCACCAAGAGAGCAAGUGGGGAAGGUGCCCAGCUCCAGAGCAGAGGGGGCCUGAGCCCACACUGUGAUUCCCAACCAUGGGGAACAAUGGCACCCACUGGGAAGAGCCCCCAACCCGGAAUGUCUUAGGAGUCUGCCUUCUCUUAUGAAGUCUCACCAUCUCAAGGCCCAAGCUGCUAUAGAGGUCAGAGUCAUGCUCCGGAGAACCCACAGGACCAAUGUUUCCCUUUGACCUCAUUGAGAACUAGUAAAUGCAAUAAGUCCUUGUGGACUCUUAAGGAAUUCUGUCUGGACUCUGAAGAAAAUAGAGUAGAGGUCACAGCCAAAUCUGCCCGCGUGUCGAGAGGCUGGAUUCCAGAAACGAGGGAAACAGAAUAUUGUUUGUGAGAAUUGCAAGCAUCUGGAGAGUCAGAGGCAUGAGGCAAUGAUGGCACAACCAGGGGAUAGCAUUUUCUUGAAAAGGCCUUGAAUUUUCAUGGGUGAGAGAGCAGAAUGUUGUGCUGAAAUGACAAGUCUCUACUCAAAACCCCUAAGCCACUCUAGACUUGCUGUGUGACACUGGAAACCAACCUCUCUCCAUCUUGUUUUCCUUACAAGGCUAAGAAUGUAUGGCCAGGCUUGACAGAGGGCACCGAUGAGAUACUGCACGUGAAACUCCUAUAGCUGGCAACGUUAGAUAAAGGAGAAGUGCCAAUAUAAACAGCCCUAUCCACUGUGCUUUCUCACGUGCCUAGGCAAGGGGCUUGUGCUGGCAUGGCUAACAUUCUCUACUUUCAGAGAGCAAGACACAAAGAGAUGGAAUAGCCACGGAUAUCAUUCAAUAUCACCUGGACCAAGAAGUAGAGUGUCCCUUGGGAGAAAGACCUCGGUGCCUACCCAUGGCAUUGCACUUCCUCUUCUGAGAAUGGCACCAUUACAGAACUAUCCAGGGUGGGGCCCCAGACCACAGAGACUUCCUUCUGCCUGUCUGCUAGAGGGACAUCUGCUGGGAUGGUUAGGAAGGUAGCCACUGUCACAAGCUCCAGGGCCCAGAACUGCCCUUCUGCUUCUCCACCCUGCCUCUUUCUGCUCUUGGUAUGAUCUCUGCUUUGGGGUAAAAGAGUGGGUGCCUGGCUGCUGGGGGUGGGGUGGGGUGGGCAUCAGGGAAUGGGUGUUUGUCUUUCUUUGGUUCUGUGCUCUUUGGAUUUCAUCUAUCAUACAGAUAAUUACCC